CACCGAUGUCUACUAACAAUGAAAUGUUAAACAAAAAUAUUAAGCUUUUCAAGGAUGGUCAGCUUACUCUAAAAUCGCUUAUGAUGGAAAUGGCACAGAAGGAGUUUCCUGAAUGUUUGGUCACUAGAUUUCCCACCCGUGCGACCAUAUGAUUUUAUAUUUCGUUUGUUAGUACGACCAAUAAAUAAUUUCACAUAAUAUCUCG
rnacentral:lncRNA from 1 species